CAAAGUUGAUCGUGUUUAUGACGUCGAAUAUCGACGUCAUAAACACCAAAGUUGAUCGUGUUUAUGACGUCGAAUAUCGACGUCAUAAACACCUAAG